rnacentral:rRNA from 1 species
AGUGAACGCUGGCGGUAGGCCUAACACAUGCAAGUCGAAUGGCAGCACAGUAAGAGCUUGCUCUUACGGGUGGCGAGUGGCGGACGGGUGAGGAAUACAUCGGAAUCUACUUUUUCGUGGGGGAUAACGUAGGGAAACUUACGCUAAUACCGCAUACGACCUACGGGUGAAAGCAGGGGAUCUUCGGACCUUGCGCGAUUGAAUGAGCCGAUGUCGGAUUAGCUAGUUGGCGGGGUAAAGGCCCACCAAGGCGACGAUCCGUAGCUGGUCUGAGAGGAUGAUCAGCCACACUGGAACUGAGACACGGCCCAGACUCCUACGGGAGGCAGCAGUGGGGAAUAUUGGACAAUGGGCGCAAGCCUGAUCCAGCCAUACCGCGUGGGUGAAGAAGGCCUUCGGGUUGUAAAGCCCUUUUGUUGGGAAAGAAAAGCAGCAGGUUAAUACCCCGCUGUUCUGACGGUACCCAAAGAAUAAGCACCGGCUAACUUCGUG